rnacentral:rRNA from 1 species
AUUGAACGCUGGCGGAAUGCUUUACACAUGCAAGCCGAACGGUAGAGGGGGCAACCCCUCGAGAGUGGCGAACGGGUGAGUAAUAUAUCGGAACGCGCCUAGUCGUGGGGGAUAACGUAGCGAAAGUUACGCUAAUAUCGCAUACGAUCUAAGGAUGAAAGCGGGGGAUCGCAAGACCUCGCGCGAUUGGAGCGGCCGAUAUCAGAUUAGGUAGUUGGUGGGGUAAAGGCUCACUAAGCCAACGAUCUGUAGCUGGUCUGAGAGGACGACCAGCCACACUGGAACUGAGACACGGUCCAGACUCCUACGGGAGGCAGCAGUGGGGAAUUUUGGACAAUGGACGCAAGUCUGAUCCAGCCAUUCCGCGUGCAGGAUGAAGGCCCUCGGGUUGUAAACUGCUUUUGUACGGAACGAAAAGGUCUCUCUUAAUACGGGGGACUCAUGACGGUACCGUAAGAAUAAGCACCGGCUAACUACGUGCCAGCAGCCGCCGUAA